AAAGCGUAUAAAAUCGGGUGGCCAAUUCGUGUCAGAUUGCCUCAUAUGUGGAAGCAAAACACCCGUAGUGGUGGAGAAACUCUUGAGUUCAUCACUGCAGACGAAACUGUAAGGGUGUAAAAAUCCAUGCAUCAUGCAAAAGAACUCAAAUGUAUAUGAGGUACAGCUGGGAACUUACCGGAAGAGGUUCAGUUGGGAACAAUAUAUGGACCUUAGCAUCCUGUUCAAAUUCAUCUUCCUCAACUGGGUCAUAGAAAUCUUCAUAGAUCAAAAAGAAGAAGGGAUAUCAGAUUUUAUUGUUGCAUACUAAACACAUAUGUAAAUGGUUUUCACUUUGGAAAUUCAAGCAAGUAGUGCUAACAGAGCAAUUCAAGUAGUGGUAAUAAAGCAAUAAAACUCACAAGGAAGGCAAUAGUUGAACUUCCUAACACAAAAUUUAAUAUUUACUUUAUAGUGUAUCUCAAAAUUAAUACUAAGUAACUUAACUCAAAA